AAUGAAUCGAAAGAAGCUGGAGAAGCUUAACAUCAUCCAAAUCUGUGAAGAGAUUUUGAAUCCACCAGUUCCUUUGGCUUUGAGACUCUCUGGAAUUCUCAUGGGUGGAGUUGUGAUUGUGUACGAAAGAAAAGUGAAACUCCUUUAUGAUGAUGUUAAUCGACUCCUGGUAGAAAUGAAUGAAGCAUGGAAGGUAAAAGCAGCUGCAGAUCCAACGGUACUCCCCAAAGGAAAAUCACAAGCCAAGUAAC